AUUAAACGCUGGCGGCAUGCCUUACACAUGCAAGUCGAACGGCAGCACGGGGGCAACCCUGGUGGCGAGUGGCGAACGGGUGAGUAAAGCAUCGGAACGUGCCCUGGAGUGGGGGGAUAACGUAGCGAAAGUUACGCUAAUACCGCAUAUUCUGUGAGCAGGAAAGCAGGGGAUCGCAAGACCUUGCGCUCUGGGAGCGGCCGAUGUCGGAUUAGCUAGUUGGUGGGGUAAAGGCCUACCAAGGCGACGAUCCGUAGCGGGUCUGAGAGGAUGAUCCGCCACACUGGGACUGAGACACGGCCCAGACUCCUACGGGAGGCAGCAGUGGGGAAUUUUGGGACAAUGGGCGAAAGCCUGAUCCAGCCAUGCCGCGUGAGUGAAGAAGGCC
rnacentral:rRNA from 1 species